rnacentral:rRNA from 1 species
UACAGAGGGGGCAAGCGUUGUUCGGAAUUACUGGGCGUAAAGGGCGCGUAGGCGGCCUUCUAAGUCGAACGUGAAAUCCCCGGGCUCAACCCGGGAACUGCGUCCGAUACUGGAAGGCUUGAAUCCGGGAGAGGGAUGCGGAAUUCCAGGUGUAGCGGUGAAAUGCGUAGAUAUCUGAAGGAAUACCGGUGGCGAAGGCGGCCUUCUGGACUAAUACUGACACUGAGGAGCGAAAGCGUGGGUAGCGAACAGG